GGUUAAGUGAUUAAGCGUACACGGUGGAUGCCUAGGCAGUCAGAGGCGAUGAAGGGCGUGCUAAUCUGCGAAAAGCGUCGGUAAGGUGAUAUGAACCGUUAUAACCGGCGAUACCCGAAUGGGGAAACCCAGUGUGUUUCGACACACUAUCAUGUCAUGAAUACAUAGUGGCAUGAGGCGAACCGGGGGAACUGAAACAUCUAAG
rnacentral:rRNA from 1 species